rnacentral:lncRNA from 1 species
UAAUAUUUUAAAGAAUAUUCCAUUUUGUGCUGCAGGGAGACGGGCGAGCUGGCUGACGCCCAUGCCCAUUGCCUGGACCUACCAGGACGCCCCUGGGCUGGAAGGUGUCCAGGGCAGGCCGGCGGCGGAGCUGUGCGAGCUGCCCAGUUUAGGGAGAAGGAAAGAGUUUGGAGAAGAGAAAUCCAUACUGCAUAGUCAGAAGAGAAGCCUUGGAAAUCAAACAGCUGGAUUCAAGUCCUGGAUCCACCAGUUACUAGCUGUGCAAUCUUGGGUAAAUUAUUGAACCUCUCUGUACCUCAGCCCUCUCCUCUGGAAAAUAGUGAUAAUAGGGUAACUAUGACAAGUAAAUGAGAUGGUAUACACCUGACUUGUCACAGGACCUAGGACACAACAAGAGAUCGGUAAACAUGGUUGGUGGCUGUGGGGUUGUUUUUCAGGGCAUCAGAGUUGCCCGGCUCCUGCAAAUCCCUUAGCUCCCAAGUCGCUUCCUUCCUCACGUGUUGGCCGUGUCACAUUGGGAAUUUCAGCAUCUGUUGGUCAAAAGUCAUAUUCUGUAUUUGGCCGAACUAAUUUUAUCCCAGAUUAUUUCUGACAAGAGUCAACAUUCUUCCCUCCCGCGGCCCCUGCAUCGCCUCAAAGGUCUGCAUUCUCCAGGCAGGCCGCUUUCUUUGCUUGGUUUCCUUGGCCUCCCUCCCCGUCGCAGUGCCCAGAAUGUAAUAAGGAGCCGGUUUCCCGGCCAGGAGCUGGGUGCCCAGGAAUUCCGGCCGGCCCGGCAAGGUCUGUUUGCCAGCCCAUCUGUUUCUAAUCUGCGCAGCGCAGCGCAUUCUUUCUGCCGAGGCAGGCGUGCAGGGCCCGAGCCUGGGGACUACGCUAAUUGAUUGCUAAAUGGAUCUUGUCAUUUCCAAAAGAGGCCUCGAGGCCUGCCCUUGGCUCUGCCUCUGCUCCCUGAGGACGGAAGAACUUCGGAAUUAACCCAUCCACUUCCUUGGGAGAGAGGCGAGGACUGUCUCUACCCUGGGUUGCCAGAAUUCACCAG